GAUGAACGCUAGCGGCAGGCUUAACACAUGCAAGUCGAGGGGUAUUUAUCUUCGGAUAGAGAGACCGGCGCACGGGUGCGUAACGCGUAUGCAAUCUACCUUUUACAGAGGGAUAGCCCAGAGAAAUUUGGAUUAAUACCUCAUAGUAUAUAGACUCGGCAUCGAGAUAAUAUUAAAGUCACAACGGUAAAAGAUGAGCAUGCGUCCCAUUAGCUAGUUGGUAAGGUAACGGCUUACCAAGGCUACGAUGGGUAGGGGUCCUGAGAGGGAGAUCCCCCACACUGGUACUGAGACACGGACCAGACUCCUACGGGAGGCAGCAGUGAGGAAUAUUGGACAAUGGGCGCAAGCCUGAUCCAGCCAUGCCGCGUGCAGGAUGACGGUCCUAUGGAUUGUAAACUGCUUUUAUACGAGAAGAAACACUGCUACGUGUAGCAGCUUGACGGUAUCGUAAGAAUAAGGAUCGGCUAACUCCGUG
rnacentral:rRNA from 1 species